rnacentral:rRNA from 1 species
GGUAUUGAAAUAAGAUUUUAAAUGAGUGCUAAGAGAAUGAUUAAACAAUUAAAAACUUUCUUUAAUUAAAUAAUUAAAUUUAAUUUUUUUUGUGCAAAAGCAAAAAUAGAAUUUAGGGACAAGAAGACCCUAUGAAUUUUUAUUAUUAAUAUUUUGCAAUUAAAUUAUUAAUAAUUUAAUUGGGGUGAUAAAAAAAGAAUAAGUAUCUUUUUAAUUGUAAAACAAGUUCCGUUUUUAGCGAUUAAAUGAAAAAAAUACUCUAGGGAUAACAGCGUAAUAAUUUUGGAUAGUUCAUAUAGAUAAAAUAGUUUGCGACCUCGAUGUUGGAUUAGGAUUCU